AAAAAUAGUGAACUGGUCAAAAAACGGUCUGGAUCGGUGAAUCGGUGUUUUUACUUUAGCUAAACACCGUUUUACUGUAGCAAAUCGCCGGUUCUCGUUUUUAAAAUUAUUAACGUAAUAGAGCAAAAUACGCCCAAUGAAUUGAGAUUGAGAGAAAAAGAAAUAGAGCAAAAUACGCCCAAUGAAUUGAGAUUGAGAGAAAAAGAAAUAACUUACUGCAUCGAGAAAUUUAGAGGGCUUCUCUUUCAAAUCCGGCUAGUGAA
rnacentral:lncRNA from 1 species